GAUCCGGGCUCAGAUUGAACGCUGGCGGCAGGCCUAACACAUGCAAGUCGAACGGUAACAGGAAGAAGCUUGCUUCUUUGCUGACGAGUGGCGGACGGGUGAGUAAUGUCUGGGAAACUGCCUGAUGGAGGGGGGUAACUACUGGAAACGGUAGCUAAUACCGCAUAACGUCGCAAGACCAAAGAGGGGGACCUUCGGGCCGUCUUGCCAUCGGAUGUGCCCACGAUGGGAGUUAGCUAGUAGGUGGGGUAACGGGCU
rnacentral:rRNA from 1 species